rnacentral:rRNA from 1 species
GGGGAAUAUUGGACAAUGGGGGAAACCCUGAUCCAGCGACGCCGCGUGGGUGAAGAAGGCCUGCGGGUUGUAAAGCCCUUUCGGUAGGGACGAAAGCUCUCGACCUAACACGUCGGGAGGUUGACUUAACCUACAAAAGAAGCACCGGCUAACUCUGUGCCAGCAGCCGCGGUAAUACAGAGGGUGCGAGCGUUAAUCGGAAUUACUGGGCGUAAAGCGCACGUAGGCGGCUUGGUAUGUCGGGUGUGAAAUCCCCGGGCUCAACCUGGGAACUGCAUCCGAAACUGCCUUGCUAGAGUAUGGGAGAGGGAAGUGGAAUUUCCGGUGUAGCGGUGAAAUGCGUAGAUAUCGGAAGGAACAUCAGUGGCGAAGGCGACUUCCUGGACCAAUACUGACGCUCAGGUGCGAAAGCGUGGGGAGCAAAC